AACGAACGCUGGCGGCAUGCCUAACACAUGCAAGUCGAACGAGACCUUCGGGUCUAGUGGCGCACGGGUGCGUAACGCGUGGGAACCUGCCCUUAGGUUCGGAAUAACUCCCCGAAAGGGGUGCUAAUACCGGAUAAUGUCUUCGGACCAAGAUUUAUUGCCUUUGGAUGGGCCCGCGUUGGAUUAGCUAGUUGGUAGGGUAAAAGCCUACCAAGGCGACGAUCCAUAGCUGGUCUGAGAGGAUGAUCAGCCACACUGGGACUGAGACACGGCCCAGACUCCUACGGGAGGCAGCAGUGGGGAAUAUUGGACAAUGGGCGAAAGCCUGAUCCAGCAAUGCCGCGUGAGUGAUGAAGGCCUUAGGGUUGUAAAGCUCUUUUACCCGGGAUGAUAAUGACAGUACCGGGAGAAUAAGCUCCGGCUAACUCCGUG
rnacentral:rRNA from 1 species